rnacentral:misc_RNA from 1 species
AGUCAAACCUGGAGUCCGUUGCCCGACAGGAGAAGCAAGAAUUACGCCGUGUGCUUUUCUUGCUUUACAUUAAUUUGACUUUUGUAAUUAGUACUAGACCUCCCAUUUCUCUCUUUCACUUGCACAUAGCCUCCUCUUGCAGUAGUUGCAUGUUUAACUUCUGUGUAUUUAUUUACCAAAUUACCAAUAAAUGCGUAUAGACUAAUAGUAUAUGAUCCAAUUACAAUCUUCAUGAUAAGAUUCUAACUAAUAUUAUAUGAUCCAAGUGAGUAUUGAGUCUUCUG